CAAACGAAUAAUAUUGCAUUGUUAUUAUUGUAAACGGGUGGAGGUUGGGCUGCUUCUUGACAUUCAAAGCCUACUCGCACGGUAUUGGUUAGUUUUAGGUUGAUCCGAAUCAUAGGCGUCGAGUUAAUUGGAUUGGAUUGGAUUGGAUGGGGCUGGGGGGCAGCAUGAGCUUGUUGAGGGGAGGCUGCUCCUCCUCCUCCUCCUCCUCCGGCGGCUACUGCUGCUGUUCUAGUAGCAGCAGUAAUUAUGGAUAUGGUGGUCGUCGCCCUGUACUGCUACGAGCUCUACUUCCCUCUGCCACUGCUUCUGCUACUUCAUCUUCAACGCCGCGGCCUCUGCAGCCUCUCCUCCUCCUCAGGCCCAGAGAUAAGAAGAAGACGAUUAUACUAACCCCACCAUUCUCCACUUCACCUCCUACUAAUCCUAAUUACUCCUCCUCCUCCUCCUCCUGGGCUACUCCUAAAAAACUAACACCGCCAUUUCUGCUGCCUUCCCCGCUCAUCACAAAAUUUACUCCUGUUACUCCCAUUCCAACGUUGUUGCCGGGGUGGAAACGCUGUUUCUGCACUGCCCCCUCCUCCUCCUCCUCCUCCGUCAAGGUGGAGGAUGAUGACGAUGAUGAGAUGACCAAGAUCAAAGAAGCCGCCAACACAUUGGACAUUCGAGUGGGCAAAAUCCUCAAGGCCUGGAGGCACCAGGAAGCUGAUUCCCUCUACGUCGAAGAGGUCGAUGUUGGGGAGCCUGAACCCAGAAUCAUUUGUAGUGGCCUCGUCAAAUAUCUGCCCCUCCACCAUCUUCAGGGCAUCAAUGUGGUUGUCCUUGCUAAUUUGAAGCCAAGGAAUAUGCGUGGUGUCAAAUCAUCCGGAAUGCUGAUGGCAGCUUCUGAUGCAUCACAUGAGAACGUGGAGCUACUAGUGCCUCCUGAAGGCUCAGUUCCUGGUCAAAGGAUAUGGUUUGGUUCUGUGGAUGAAAAGGAGAAUCUUCCAGAUGCCGCAUCGCCCAAUCAGGGCUAUGGUGCAAACUAUGUGCAAGUUGCUAUAGCUGAAACAGCUGUUGAAGGAACUUGGUCUUGAAAAUAAUAAUCCAAUGGAUCUGCAGAAGGCAAGCAACUCUACGUAUUGUAUCUAAUUAUCUGGACAACUGUGGGUGGACAACUGUUAUUUGUGUACCUGUUGGUGGAAUCUUGUUUCUUGGAAGAGUAAGGUACGGUGCUAAAUGCCAAUAUAGGGCUAUGGUGCAAACUACAAGUGAUUUGCUAUUGCUGAAAUAUCUGUUGAAGGAACCUGGUUUUGUAAGUAAUAUGCCAGUGGGUGCAUCAUGCAAUAAUCUUGCAGCUCUUCAUAUUUGCAUCUAAUUACCCUGGCUGCCGCCACCUUGCAGUGGACUGGGGAAAGUGAAUACCCUUGACGCACACCCACCAACCUGUGAUCAGAAGGCUAGCCUCUUUCUAAGGAUAUUUGGUGGACUUUAUACAUAGACAAAGCACAUUAAGAUAGAUUCUCACUACAUCUGCAGAUUAUAUGUUAAAAGAUGAGCAGCUAGUAGACUCGCUCAGUAAAUGUUUUGGCAGUUCUAGAAUGCAUUUUACUUGUAACUAGCUAGGGUAUUACUAGAAGUAUUGAGGAUUUGAAGGUCAAUAGUUAUGUUUUCAUAACAAAUAUUGUGGUUCAGGGAAUUAAAGCAGAAAAAGGGCAACCCAAAUGGCCAUUAAACUAUUCCUUUGGUGUAAUUUUGGCUACUGGACUAUUUUUAGUUCCAAUUUUUCCACUGAACUCCUAAAAACAUUUACUUUUGGCACUUUUUAAUGUUUCACUGUCAAGUCCUUUCUCUUCGGUUAAUUUAGGGGGAUACCUUUUUCCCAAUGUUUUCUCUUCGGUUAAUUUAAAAGUUUUACUUGAAUUCUUGAUUAAGGUAUCUUGAAUGCACCCAUGUCAGUCAAACGUCUGUGAGUGAAUGGAGUGUGACAUAAUUUUAGCUUAACGUGCUUUUGUUUGACUUGACUAAACCAUUGAUGCAACUAAUGAUCCAAAGAGGAUGAUUGGAGGAAGAGCUGUUUUUCUCAGCUUGUGGGCUUGUUAAUGGAAUGACAGAAAAGUGAUUGUUGAUUUGGUACUGAGGCUGUCGGGUCGCAUUGCAGGUUGGAGUCGAUUCAGAAGAAAAAGAUCUGGGAACAGGUUCAGCCUCAUCUGGGGACGGAUGACUCGUGUAUUGCUGCACUUGGUAUGCACACCAUGCGA